CCUAGACCCAUUUAAGAACUGACUGCCGUGGGGAUGGAUCUUUUCUGGAGAUCUCCUGCACUGGUGUUUAUUAUGUGAGCCCAGGAUAGGGCCGUGCUUCAACAGCUCAUCUGUGAGGAUUCUGUGAGAGACAGUGUCAAAAGCCUUGCUGAAGACAGACAAUAUCCACCAUUCUCUCCUGUGAACCAAGCCAGUCAUCAGUCAUAGAAGCUGACUGUACCAAUUUCAGCUGGGAUGGAGUUAGUUUUCUUCACAGUAGUGUAUAUGGUGCUAUGUUUUGGAACAGCGACCAAAUCAACCCACAAAAGAUCAAGUACGCUACUGAAGGGACUGUGGCUUAUGGGUAAUGAUACAUCAGAGCUGGCACAACCCAAAUGGACUGUGGUCCACAAACAAGGCCACGCUGAAGCAGGCUCACCACAAAGGGGACUGUGAAUUCAAUGGACAUAUUAUGGACAGAUUGCAGGAGUGGUCCAUAGGCUAAGGGGAUUCUAUCUGUGUAUAUAUUGAAAAGCAGGAGGGUGGAUGGUGGUUAAUGAGGAUGUGUUGGAUAGCACGGAGCCUAAGAGUGAUGUAAAUGGUAUGGAAUAAGGGGCAGUUUGUACUGGCUUUGGCUGGGAUGGAGUUUUUUUUGUAACAAUUCAUAUGAUGCUGUGCUUUGUAUUUGUGACCAAAACAGUGUUGAUAAUAGACCAUUGUUUUAGGUGUUUCUGAACAGUGCCAACACAUCAUCAAGAUCACUCUGUUUAGCAUGCUGACCAGCCAGCAUGUGGCCUUUAGAGGGCGCAAGGAACAGGGAGGCAACAUAGCUAGGACAGCCAAUUCUACCCCAUAAGAAUAUCCCACACCAUAUUAUGUUAUGCUCAGCAAUAAAAGUUGGGAGAAAGAAAGAGGGAAGAGUGGACGUUUGGAGCUAUGUUGUUUGUCUUCAGAAGUAACCAUUAUGCAUGGUGAGUCCCUGAUUUCCUGAAAAUGACCAAAUAUCUGCCUGCUGGUGGGGUAAAAAGCCAAUAAUUCCUUCUUUUUCAUGGGUCCCUCUUCUAUUCCUCCUAGCCUUUCCUUUUGCUGGCAGGAUGGAGGAAACACCCCUAGUCCCUUGUAUUCCUGACUGUCACCCCAGAGCUCUGUAUUGAUAUUAUCUAGGAUGUUCCAGCAGUAUCAUUGGUGUCUACAUAGCAAAUGUUUAACCCAGGUGCGUGAAGAAGAUGCUGUUGCAGCACUGGGCAAUGUUUCCUGGAAAGUCUCCUUGGAAGCACUGGCAGAGACACUUCUCAGCACUCGUGAUGGUGAGAGAUCACCAACAGUGUUCUUUAGCUUUCAGGAGGUUUGUGAUGGGACUUGCAACUUCUUUCAGAAUCAAGUAUACAACUAUCAGGACCCUUCAUAUAAAAUUCUUUGAAAGAACUUGCAUGGCAUUGCACUGUAUUUUUAAAGGGAAGCUCCCAUCUCUCUAAGCAAAUUGGUAGCACUGGUUUCAAGCUCAGCAUGCGCCCCACAGGGAAUAAUUAAUGGCCUUUGGGACUGCCACACCAACCUCAUUGGAAGUUGCUGAUCUGGGCUGCUGUAGCCCAUUUCUUGGGGAUUCAGCUCAGCAGACAGUGACAUCUGAUUGUUCACCAUCACUAUCUUUCUCCUGGUGCGCACAGUUCAUGACCUUAGUUUUACUUUAGUAAGGGGUUAAAUAGCAUUAGGACUUUUGAGACCAUUAAGUCUCUGACUUAGCAAAGCACUUAAGUAAGCAUGCACUUAGCUAGUUUGGUUAUCCUGAACAUUCCUUACUCACCCAGACAAUCCCUUAGCAAAGGGAAUAAGCCAGGGUUCAAAACCUCCUUUUGCCAUUUUCAGGAAGGGCAUUAAGUGAUUUCACUUAAGCUUUCACUGGUGUGACUCUGUACCCACAUUUAUAAAUACCCUCAAACAAUGACAUAAUGGGAAUAGCUUGAAAGGUUUGAGAUAAGCUAGUCUUAGUCUUUGGGAUUCAGGAGCUGAGUUGGGAUAAAUCCCUUUGAAUAUGUACAUCUAGAAAAUGUGCAAAUAGACAUGAUCAGAGGCCUGUCUUCAAAGUCAGGGAAGGGUUUUGUUCCCCCCUCCAGAGGAGAAGUUAAUGAGAAUCCUUUACCCCAGGGUGGAUGUACAUUUUCUCACAAAGAUAGGUGAUGCUCAGGAAGAUUAUCUGGUCUGGGGCUGCCUACACACAAGCUUUGUCUACUCUCAAAUAUUGUGAUCCCAAUUGCUUGGCUUCAGGGUCUUACAGACAGUAUUUCCGACUGAUUUGAAGCCUCCUUGUUUCAGCAUAAUGCCACCAAAAUAAAAUCACUGUGGCCGCAAGCCACUCCUGUCCUCAUUACCUUUGUAGUGUGCUUUUCUGAGUCUCUCAUCUUGGUGGCAAUUUCAGACACUUCUCAAUAACACAUAUCUCCAUUUUUAUUUUCUAAACUAAAUAUAUGGGAUGUUUUCUUAAUGAUUUGAAAGUACAAUUCUAAUUCCUUGUAGCAUUUUUGGCCACAUGUAUAUAAAGUCACGCUUCACACGGUUUUUUUUCUGAUGCGUUUUUAUAUGACAUCAAAUAUUUGAGAACAUGCUCUAAGCUGGACAGAAGCAAUAUAGCAAGGUAAUAGUAUUUGGUGUAUGGGUAGCAGGAAAUGCUUAAAUGCUUCUAUGAUCAGUCUUAUAUUUUUU